GGCUUGGUAGCUUAAUGGUAGAGCCUCAGGUUGUGGUCCUGACAGUGGCAGUUCGAUUCUGCCCCAAGCCU